rnacentral:rRNA from 1 species
CCUACGGGGUGCAGCAGUGGGGAAUAUUGGACAAUGGGGGGAACCCUGAUCCAGCGACGCCGCGUGAGUGAAGAAGUAUUUCGGUAUGUAAAGCUCUAUCAGCAGGGAAGAAAGAAAUGACGGUACCUGACUAAGAAGCCCCGGCUAACUACGUGCCAGCAGCCGCGGUAAUACGUAGGGGGCAAGCGUUAUCCGGAUUUACUGGGUGUAAAGGGAGCGUAGACGGCGAAGCAAGUCUGAAGUGAAAGGCGGGGGCUCAACCCCCGGACUGCUUUGGAAACUGUAUGGCUGGAGUGCAGGAGAGGUAAGUGGAAUUCCUAGUGUAGCGGUGAAAUGCGUAGAUAUUAGGAGGAACACCAGUGGCGAAGGCGGCUUACUGGACGGUAACUGACGUUGAGGCUCGAAAGCGUGGGGAGCAAACAGGAUUAGAUACCCGAGUAGUC